rnacentral:rRNA from 1 species
CGUGUGGGCAACCUGCCCUGUACUGUGGAAUAAUCAUUGGAAACGAUGACUAAUACCGCAUGUGGUCCUCGGAAGGCAUCUUCUGAGGAAGAAAGGAUUUAUUCGGUACAGGAUGGGCCCGCAUCUGAUUAGCUAGUUGGUGAGAUAACAGCCCACCAAGGCGACGAUCAGUAGCCGACCUGAGAGGGCGAUCGGCCACAUUGGGACUGAGACACGGCCCAA